CUAAAACCAGUAGUUCGAAAGAUAUAUUUAAAAAUAAAAGAUAAAAUCCAAAAAAUUAAUUAUCUAUUAACGUGGAUUUGGACGACAAUAGGUUUUUAGUUUGUGAUGUUUCAUGUGAUGAUCAUUUUCAUGUUCAUCGUCUUUGAAUUGACAUGAGGAUAUCUAUGGAAAAGUAACUAAUCUGAAAGUAAGCCAACAUAUCGUUUGUCCUUUGUGUGCUAAAGAAAAGAUUUUCUUUUCGCAUCGUGAGGAAGUAUUACAUCAAUUAAAAAAUGUUAGGAAGUUGAUUACUUGUCAUGGAAAAGUAUACCAAUGGAAAUUAUUUGUUAAAGAAGUAUAAUUCUAAGGGUUUUAAGAAUAAAUUGGUUGAACCCAAAAUCUGGAGGAAGUACCUAUAUCCAUACACAGAAUAUGCCCAUUAAGAAUACUAGUCCAAAUUUGCUUUAAUGGAACGAUUAGGGCCCGAUAUAUUUGAAACUCAUGUUGGACAUAGUAUUGAGUUGGGUAGAAUAUUAUUCUACGUUAAGUGAGGAUAUCAGAUACCUAUUAUUGUACUGUAUUUUAAUAUAUACAUUAGAAUUGUUGGUUUUUU